CCGCCCGUAAACAAGGGCUCACAAUGCCCGUCUUUCCUCCGAGAGCCGGCUCCUCUCCUGGCCUGGUCCCCUGGGUCCGCGGCCUGCCCUGUCCCUCGUCCUCGCCCGAGUCUGUCACUGAAAGGCCAGCACUGCUUCCUCAGGGAAAAGCCCGGUCUUUUGCUGCAGCUGCAUCCUCGUUUUCCUGCCCCAGUCCCCCACCUGGCUGAGUGGGAGAUGCCAGGAGCUACAGAACACCCUGAACAUGUUCCUGAAGCAGCUUCUUAGAGGCUCACCUUUAGGCAUCCAUCCUAAGAGGUCCAUGCCAAUGUCACUGGCUAGGAAACUCCUGGAAAAUACCCCGCACCCCACACUCAGCCAGAAAGGGGUGUGGAGCACGGACACUAACAUCAGGAGGCUGCCGCCCAGAGCGUGGAAACGCACAUCAGGAAACCUCCGACUUCAUUUCCCCUCCUUCGAACGAGGGACUUCUCUCGGUGAUCUGCAUGGCUCCUCCACGAC
ensembl:lncRNA